rnacentral:rRNA from 1 species
UACGUAGGUGGCAAGCGUUGUCCGGAUUUACUGGGCGUAAAGAGCGCGCAGGCGGUCGUUCAAGUCGCGUGUGAAAGCCCCCGGCUCAACUGGGGAGGGUCACGCGAUACUGAUCGACUCGAAGGCAGGAGAGGGUAGUGGAAUUCCCGGUGUAGUGGUGAAAUGCGUAGAUAUCUGGAGGAACACCGGUGGCGAAGGCGGCAUCCUGGACCAAUACUGACGCUGAGGAGCGAAAGCCAGGGGAGCAAACGGG